AGAUACGGUCGGACAUCGUGUUGAUAGUGCAAUGGCAUAAGCGUGCUUAACUGCGAGACUGACAAGUCGAGCAGGUACGAAAGUAGGACAUAGUGAUCCGGUGGUUCUGUAUGGAAGGGCCAUCGCUCAACGGAUAAAAGGUACUCUGGGGAUAACAGGCUGAUUCCUCCCAAGAGUUCAUAUCGACGGGGGAGUUUGGCACCUCGAUGUCGGCUCAUCACAUCCUGGGGCUGUAGCCGGUCCCAAGGGUAUGGCUGUUCGCCAUUUAAAGUGGUACGUGAGCUGGGUUUAAAACGUCGUGAGACAGUUUGGUCCCUAUCUGCCGUGGGCGUUGGAAAUUUGAAGGGGGCUGCUCCUAGUACGAGAGGACCGGAGUGGACGUAUCUCUGGUGUACCGGUUGUCACGCCAGUGGCAUUGCCGGGUAGCUAAAUACGGAAGAGAUAACCGCUGAAAGCAUCUAAGCGGGAAACUUGCCUUGAGAUGAGAUUUCCCAGAGCCUUGAGCUCUUUGAAGGGUCGUUCGAGACCAGGACGUUGAUAGGCUGGGUGUGGAAGUGCAGUAAUGCAUUAAGCUAACCAGUACUAAUUGCCCGUACGGCUUGUCCCUAUAACCUUAGCAGGU
rnacentral:rRNA from 1 species